GUUGUUUACUCACAGAAGGAGAGCGUCUGAGAGAAACGGAGCAACGAGACAGAGAGAGAAAAAUCCUCUGGAAAAAUGGCAGCUGACAUCGAAAGACUGGCCUUGUUCGAAGAGACUCACUACGACGAGUAUGAAUAUUACAACCUGAAUGAAUAUUCGUGUCACGCUGGAGGAAAAGGGAGAACUAAGAGGGAAAUCGGACUCAACACUAACCGCCAUUGCCCUGCAGGACACGAGAGGAAGAUAGUGGAGAAAUACCACAACAGCGAAAUGAAGCGCAAGAGGACCAAAAGCUGUUCGUCUUGAGAGGUUCAUGAUGUGGAUUCUGCUAACAUGAUCAGACUGGAGUUGAAAUGAGAAACGGAUCGUGGUCCAAAUGUUUGUUCGCCUUCGCUGACCUACCAAAGGGGAUACGCGGUGCCAAGUGACCCUCUUUCAGAUCCCCUUUUUUUCCAAAUGUGGUCGCUGGAACUCGAUUCCCCCCAGUGUCCGGUUGCAGCUGCGCACAUGAAUAUCACAUUAUGUUCGGGUGUUGGCCCCAUAUGUGUGUGUAACUGUUACUGUAAGUGGUGUUUGUGUUUUUAAACGUUCUGAGUCACUUUAAAGAAUAAAGCUUUGAGGAAGUAAA